GUGGGGAAUCUUCCGCAAUGGACGAAAGUCUGACGGAGCAACGCCGCGUGAGUGAAGAAGGUUUUCGGAUCGUAAAGCUCUUUCGUUAGGGACGAACGUGCUCUUUGUGAAAAAUGAGGAGUAAUGACGGUACCUAAAUAAGAAGCCACGGCUAACUACGUGCCAGCAGCCGCGGUAAUACGUAGGUGGCAAGCGUUGUCCGGAAUUAUUGGGCGUAAAGCGCGCGCAGGCGGGAUAUCAAGUCUGUCCUAAAAGUGCGAGGCUCAACCUCGUGAGGGGACAGAAACUGGUAUUCUUGAGUGUCGGAGAGGAAAGUGGAAUUCCAAGUGUAGCGGUGAAAUGCGUAGAGAUUUGGAAGAACACCAGUGGCGAAGGCGACUUUCUGGACGAUGUCUGACGCUGAGGCGCGAAAGCUAGGGGAGCGAACGGGAUUAGAAACCCUAGUAGUCC
rnacentral:rRNA from 1 species